UCCGGUUUGUCACCGGCAGUCUCCUUAGAGUGCCCAACUAAAUGAUGGCAACUAAGAACAAGGGUUGCGCUCGUUGCGGGACUUAACCCAACAUCUCACGACACGAGCUGACGACAACCAUGCACCACCUGUCACCGCUGUCCCCGAAGGGAAAACUAUGUCUCCAUAGCGGUCAGCGGGAUGUCAAGACCUGGUAAGGUUCUUCGCGUUGCUUCGAAUUAAACCACAUGCUCCACCGCUUGUGCGGGCCCCCGUCAAUUCCUUUGAGUUUCAGUCUUGCGACCGUACUCCCCAGGCGGAGUGCUUAAUGCGUUAGCUGCAGCACUAAGGGGCGGAAACCCCCUAACACUUAGCACUCAUCGUUUACGGCGUGGACUAC
rnacentral:misc_RNA from 1 species